rnacentral:rRNA from 1 species
GAUGAACGCUAGCUACAGGCUUAACACAUGCAAGUCGAGGGGAAACGAUGAGAGAGCUUGCUCUCUUAGGCGUCGACCGGCGCACGGGUGAGUAACGCGUAUCCAACCUACCCAUUACAGGGGGAUAACCUUGCGAAAGUAAGACUAAUACCCCAUGGCAUUUUAUGGUGGCAUCAUUAUAGGAUUAAAGAUUUAUUGGUAAUGGAUGGGGAUGCGUCUGAUUAGCUUGUUGGCGGGGUAACGGCCCACCAAGGCAACGAUCAGUAGGGGUUCUGAGAGGAAGGUCCCCCACAUUGGAACUGAGACACGGUCCAAACUCCUACGGGAGGCAGGAGUGAGGAAUAUUGGGCAAUGGGCGAGAGCUUGAACCAGCCAAGUAGCGUGCAGGAUGACGGCCCUAUGGGUUGUAAACUGCUUUUAUAGAGGAAUAAAGUGAGCUACGUGUAGUUUAUUGCAUGUACCCUAUGAAUAAGGACCGGCUAAUUCCGUG